rnacentral:rRNA from 1 species
GUGGAUUAGAUACCCGGGUAGUCCACGCCGUAAACGAUGAUUACUAGGUGUGGGGGGUCUGACCCCCUCCGUGCCGCAGUUAACACAAUAAGUAAUCCACCUGGGGAGUACGGCCGCAAGGUUGAAACUCAAAGGAAUUGACGGGGGCCCGCACAAGCAGUGGAGUAUGUGGUUUAAUUCGAAGCAACGCGAAGAACCUUACCAGGUCUUGACAUCGAGUGACGUACCUAGAGAUAGGUAUUUCCUUCGGGACACGAAGACAGGUGGUGCAUGGUCGUCGCCAGCU